rnacentral:rRNA from 1 species
AACGACUCUCGGCAACGGAUAUCUCGGCUCUCGCAUCGAUGAAGAACGUAGCGAACUGCGAUACUUGGUGUGAAUUGCAGAAUCCCGUGAACCAUCGAGUCUUUGAACGCAAGUUGCGCCCGAAGCCAUUAGGCCUAGGGCACGUCUGCCUGGGCGUCACGCA